rnacentral:rRNA from 1 species
GAUGAACGCUGGCGGCGUGCCUAAUACAUGCAAGUCGAGCGAACGGACGAGAAGCUUGCUUCUCUGAUGUUAGCGGCGGACGGGUGAGUAACACGUGGAUAACCUACCUAUAAGACUGGGAUAACUUCGGGAAACCGUAGCUAAUACCGGAUAAUAUUUUGAACCGCAUGGUUCAAAAGUGAAAGACGGUCUUGCUGUCACUUAUAGAUGGAUCCGCGCUGCAUUAGCUAGUUGGUAAGGUAACGGCUUACCAAGGCAACGAUGCAUAGCCGACCUGAGAGGGUGAUCGGCCACACUGGAACUGAGACACGGUCCAGACUCCUACGGGAGGCAGCAGUAGGGAAUCUUCGGCAAUGGGCGAAAGCCUGACGGAGCAACGCCGCGUGAGUGAUGAAGGUCUUCGGAUCGUAAAACUCUGUUAUUAGGGAAGAACAUCUGUGUAAGUAACUGUGCACAUCUUGACGGUACCUAAUCAGAAAGCCACGGCUAACUACGUG